rnacentral:rRNA from 1 species
UGCCAGACUCCUACGGGAGGCAGCAGUGGGGAAUAUUGCGCGAUGGGGGAAACCCUGAUGCAGCGACGCCGCGUGAGCGAUGAAGUAUUUCGGUAUGUAAAGCUCUAUCAGCAGGGAAGAAAAUGACGGUACCUGACUAAGAAGCCCCGGCUAACUACGUGCCAGCAGCCGCGGUAAUACGUAGGGGGCAAGCGUUAUCCGGAUUUACUGGGUGUAAAGGGAGCGUAGACGGUCCUGCAAGCCAGAUGUGAAAGCCCGGGGCUCAACCCCGGGACUGCAUUUGGAACUGUAAGGCUAGAGUGUCGGAGAGGCAGGCGGAAUUCCUAGUGUAGCGGUGAAAUGCGUAGAUAUUAGGAGGAACACCAGUGGCGAAGGCGGCCUGCUGGACGAUGACUGACGUUGAGGCUCGAAAGCGUGGGGAGCAAACAGGAUUAGAUACCCCCGUAGCA